rnacentral:rRNA from 1 species
UACGAGUGCUCCAAGCGUUAUCCGGAAUCAUUGGGCGUAAAGGGUGUGUAGGCGGUUCUGUUAGUCUUCUGUUAAAUUCUUCGGCUCAACCGGGGGCAUGCAGAGGAAACGGCAGACCUAGAGGAUGCGAGAGGUGAAUGGAACUCAUGGAGUAGGGGUGAAAUCCGUUGAUAUCAUGGGGAACACCAAAAGCGAAGGCAAUUCACUGGCGCACUCCUGACGCUGAGACACGAAAGCGUAGGUAGCGAAUGGG